rnacentral:lncRNA from 1 species
UAAUAUGAGGCAGGCAUAACCUGUGAAUGGGGACGAAGUCUGCAUUAUGUAUUAUUUUCUUAAUAAACAUAUUUACACUUUUGGUAUUUAGCUGUAUUUUGCCUCCGAAUGACCUAACAUCACCUCCGAAUAACCUUUUGACGUCAAGCAACAAUCCCUUUUUAGUUGUGACGUCAUAUGUUUUGAAUUAUGAAGUCAAAGUUUACGGGAACCUGUGUGAUGUUAUGUAAUGGCAGACAAAUUUGCAUACAAGUGUAAAUACGUCUAUUCAAUCAUGUUGAUAAAAGAAACCGAAAUACCGUACGUAACGUUCCCGAUUUUGGUUCUGUUGUUAGGGAAUUAGCUGUGACGUUCUUUAAGUUAUGACGUCAUAUUCGAUGUAAACAAAAGACAAGCUUUCAUCAGGUAACGUAACGUGUUUUUUUCAUAUCAAACAAUUAUUAAAAUUGAAUUUGUAUUGAGAUCCAAUCUUAUGUUUUACUAGACUGAUAAAUAUUAAAAAAAAUCAAAGUCUCAUGCAAACAAGACAGAUUUCUGCGCAAAUGCGGGAAAACCGGAACAGGAACUAGAUCUGAAAAAAAACGUUAACGAUUUUGAGUUCAUUAGUACAAUGAAAAAUUCGGGAAAUUUUCCCAGAUUUUUUUUUUUUUUUUUUUUUUUUUCAUUGAUUUUUCUACCGUAAUUGGGGACUUCGUCCCCAUAUUA